AUGCCUUGUGCAAGGUCAGGGCAAUGGACAAGGCAAAGCUGGUCCUUCAGCAGAUGGUUGAUAAUGGUGUUCGACCAAAUAUGUAUACAUGCAUGGAACUCAUUCAUGUACUCCCUUUGCAAGAAUGGAGGAAGCAAAGAAGCUGCAGAAUUUUUUGACUCCAUGACCUCCAAGGGCCUCAAACCUAAUAUCGUCGUGUACUCUACUCUUCUUCACGGGUAUGCUACUGAAGGAUGCCUAGCCGAUAUGAUUAAUCUCUUUAAUUCAAUGAAAGACAAUGCUAUUGUAGCCAACUGCAAUGUUUUCAACAUAUUAAUUGAUGCAUAUGCUAAACGUGGAAUGAUGCAUGAAGCUAUGCUCAUAUUUACUGAAAUGCAGGAACAAAGAGUGAGUCCUAAUGUAUUCACCUAUGCAAUUGUAACAGCUGCACUUUGCAGAAUGGGCAGGCUGUCUGAUGCAAUGGACAAACUAAAUGAGAUGAUUGCAAUGGGAUUACAACCGAACAAGGUUGUUUAUCAUUCUCUAAUUCAGGGUUUUUGUACACAUGGUGAUUUGGUGAAAGCAAAGGCCUUGGUUUCUGAAAUGAUGAACAAAGGUAUUCCUCGUCCAAACAUUGUGUUCUUCAGCUCAGUAAUAAACAGUCUAUGCAAGGAAGGAAGGGUUACCGAGGCACACGAUAUCUUCGACUUGGCUAUAAACAUUGGCGAGAGGCCUAACGUUAUUACAUUUAGUUCACUGAUUGACGGAUAUUGUUUAGCCGGGAAGAUGGAUAAAGCAUUCGGAGUACUAGAUGCUAACACUUUUGAGUAUUUCAAGGAAAAUAUGUGCAAGAGAAUAAGUAGAUGGAAG
rnacentral:rRNA from 1 species